CUACGUGCCAGCAGCCGCGGUAAUACGUAGGGUGCGAGCGUUAAUCGGAAUUACUGGGCGUAAAGCGAGCGCAGACGGUUACUUAAGCAGGAUGUGAAAUCCCCGGGCUCAACCUGGGAACUGCGUUCUGAACUGGGUGACUAGAGUGUGUCAGAGGGAGGUAGAAUUCCACGUGUAGCGGUGAAAUGCGUAGAGAUGUGGAGGAAUACCGAUGGCGAAGGCAGCCCCUUGGGAAUGUACUGACGUUCAUGCUCGAAAGCGUGGGUAGCAAACAGGAUUAGAUACCCUGGUAGUCCACGCUGUAAACGAUGUCGAUUUGGGGGUUGGCAAUUAAGUUUGAGUAGCGUAGCUAACGCGAUAAAUCGACCGCCUGGGGAGUACGGUCGCAAGGUUAAAACUCAAAGGAAUUGACGGGGACCCGCACAAGCGGUGGAGCAUGUGGAUUAAUUCGAUGCAACGCGAAGAACCUUACCUACUCUUGACAUCCAGA
rnacentral:rRNA from 1 species